rnacentral:rRNA from 1 species
UACGUAGGGCGCAAGCGUUGUCCGGAUUUACUGGGCGUAAAGAGCGCGCAGGCGGCUGGUCAAGUCCGAUGUGAAAUCUCCCGGCUCAACUGGGAAACAGCAUCGGAAACUGAUCGGCUUGAAGAUGGGAGAGGGUAGUGGAAUUCCCGGUGUAGUGGUGAAAUGCGUAGAUAUCGGGAGGAACACCAGUGGCGAAGGCGGCUACCUGGCCCAUUCUUGACGCUGAGGCGCGAAAGCUAGGGGAGCGAACGGG